rnacentral:rRNA from 1 species
CGCGUGGGAACAUACCCUUUGGUACGGAAUAGCCUCUGGAAACGAAGAGUAAUACCGUAUGAGCCCUUCGGGGAAGGAUUAUCGCCAAGAUGCCGCGUUAGAUAGUAGUGUGGGUAAGGGCUACCAAGCUACGAUCUAUAGCUGGUUUUAGUAGGAUGAUCAGCAACACUGGGACUGAGACACGGCCCACGACUCCUACGGGAGGCAGCAGUGGGGGAAUCUUGGACAAUGGGGGCGAACCCUGAUCCAGCCAUGCCGCGUGAGUGAUGAAGGCCUUAGGGUCGUAAAGCACUUUCAGUU